ACAGCUCCCGGCAGCAAGAUCCUCCACCCACAGCCAGAGCUCAGGCAGCUCAGCAAGAUGCCUCCUAAAGCCUUUAAACUCACCGAGCUUUAUUCUCCUCCUGCUCCAAGCUGAGGCUUUGUGAUCAUUCCCUGCUCCAUAUGGUCCCUGCCAGACUGAGAAGCACAUGGAUGGCUUCAUUUUCUUCUUCCUGGUAUUAAGAACUGCUGAACAGGGACCUGUCCAUUAAAUUGGUCAUUGGUAUUCACAGUGGGAAAGGCACUGCUCCUGCAGCAGGUUCGGAAGAGCACAGGUC